rnacentral:tRNA from 1 species
GGGCCGUUAGCUCAGCCGGUAGAGCAGCGGACUUUUAAUCCGCGGGUCGCUGGUUCGAAUCCAGCACGGCUCACCA